rnacentral:rRNA from 1 species
CGGACGGGUGAGUAAUGCCUAGGAAUCUGCCUGGUAGUGGGGGAUAACGUUCCGAAAGGAACGCUAAUACCGCGUACGUCCUACGGGAGAAAGCAGGGGACCUUCGGGCCUUGCGCUAUCAGAUGAGCCUAGGUCGGAUUAGCUAGUUGGUGAGGUAAUGGCUCACCAAGGCGACGAUCCGUAACUGGUCUGAGAGGAUGAUCAGUCACACUGGAACUGAGACACGGUCCAG